rnacentral:rRNA from 1 species
UACAGAGGUGCCAAGCGUUAGGCGGAAUCACUGGGCUUAAAGCGCGUGUAGGCGGGUCGUUAAGUACCUUGUGAAAUCCCACGGCUCAACCGUGGAACUGCUCGGUAUACUGGCGGUCUUGAGCCACCUAGGGGCAACUGGAACAAGCGGUGGAGCGGUGAAAUGCGUAGAUAUCGCUUGGAACGCCAACGGUGAAAACAGGUUGCUGGGGGUGUGCUGACGCUGAGACACGAAAGCCAGGGGAGCGAACGGG